rnacentral:rRNA from 1 species
UGGUAGUGUAUUGGACUACCAUGGCGAUCACGGGUAACGGAGAAUUAGGGUUCGAUUCCGGAGAGGGAGCCUGAGAAACGGCUACCACAUCUAAGGAAGGCAGCAGGCGCGUAAAUUACCCAAUCCUGACUCAGGGAGGUAGUGACAAGAAAUAACGACCCGUGCACCGUACGGUGUUUCGGGAUUGUAAUGAGAACAAUGUAAAUAUCUUAGCGAGGAACAAUUGGAGGGCAAGUCUGGUGCCAGCAGCCGCGGUAAUUCCAGCUCCAAUAGCGUAUAUUAAAGUUGUUGCAGUUAAAAAGCUCGUAGUCGAAUUUCUGGUUGGCGUUGUCGAGGCUUCGGUCUCGGCAAUGUGCAGCCAUCCUCAUGAGAACCAGUGAUGCCUUAACUGGUACUUGCUGGGUAUCAUGAAUUUUACUUUGAAUAAAUUAGAGUGUUUCAGGCAGGCGAUUGCCCGAAUACAUUAGCAUGGAAUAAUGGAAAAGGACUUUGGUCCAUUUUGUUGGUUAUUGGCCAAAGUAAUGAUUAAUAGGGACAGUUGGGGGCAUUAGUAUUUAAUUGUCAGAGGUGAAAUUCUUGGAUUUAUUAAAGACUAACUAAUGCGAAAGCAUUUGCCAAGGAUGUUUUCAUUGAUCAAGAACGAAAGUUAGGGGAUCAAAGACGAUCAGA